UUAAUAAGGAGGAUUAGAAAUGUGAAUAUUAUAUCAAAUUAGGACAGAGCUCAUCGAAACGAGAAUUUUGACACCAAUUUCGAAGAAAACGGUCCAAAAUUGGACCGAACGGGCCGGACCGGUUGAACCGGACCCAAACCGGGCCCGUGGGCCCAACCGGCCAGCAUUUAAAUGAGCCUAAAAGCUCAUUUCUCUUCAUUAACGUAACAGAAGCAGCAACGCUCCCAGGGAGGAAGAGAACGCCAAACCUAACGGCAACCUUCAACAUGCCGUAACUCCUCCGUCCGAACUCCGAUCGCCGCACCGUUUGCGGCCACGCGUUCACCGCGUCGAGCUCUACGUUUCUACCGGAACAAUUUCAUAGGAUCCAAUUAGCUUGAGAGAAACGUUCACUCUUGCUUAUGUGAAGCUUGGGUAAGGUUGUGAAUAAAUAAU